rnacentral:rRNA from 1 species
AGCAGUAGCCACGGUAAAACGUAGGGCGCAAGCGUUGUCCGGAAUUAUUGGGCGUAAAGAGCUCGUAGGCGGUCUGUCGCGUCUGGUGUGAAAUCCCGAGGCUCAACCUCGGGCUUGCAUCGGGUACGGGCAGACUAGAGUGCGGUAGGGGAGACUGGAAUUCCUGGUGUAGCGGUGGAAUGCGCAGAUAUCAGGAGGAACACCGAUGGCGAAGGCAGGUCUCUGGGCCGCAACUGACGCUGAGGAGCGAAAGCAUGGGGAGCGAACAGGAUUAGAUACCCGCGUAGUCCCUGUCUCUUAUAC